AGUGGGAAAAGCUCAACUUUAAAAUCUGGUACCUUUGGUAUCCGAGUUGUAGUCUCAAGAAACGUUUUCUGUGCUGGCCCAUGUAUGAGUCUGUUGGAACACAGCGUCAUAGAGGGUGACAACCCCGUUCAAGACAUGGACCCCAGUACUUUGUGAUACGUUCUCGAAGAGUCGAGUUGUUUGGGAAUGCAGCUCAAAUUGGGUGGUAAAUUCCAUCUAAAGCUAAAUAUUGGCGAGAGACCGAUAGCAAACAAGUACCGUGAGGGAAAGAUGAAAAGCACUUUGGAAAGAGAGUUAACAGUACGUGAAAUUGUUGAAAGGGAAACGAUUGAAGUCAGACGUGCGUGAUGCAGUUCAGCCUAGGUUCGCCUGGGUGUAUUCUGUAUCUUUGCAGGCCAACAUCGGUUUUGCGAGACGGAUAAAGGUUAGAGGAAUGUGGCAGGUUCGCCUGUGUUAUAGCCUCUGACUGAAUACGUUUUGUGGGACCGAGGAACGCAGCGCGCCGCAAGG
rnacentral:rRNA from 1 species